CACGCAUUAAAUUGGUCAAUAAGAUGAUAGAUUGCGAACCAGUAACCCCGCCACCGCCAAUAUAAUUGCCCCAGAGUUUAUUGCAGCCCAAUGAGCAUC